AAAAAACUAUGAAAAUAAGUACCCAAAAGCUCUAUAUUUUAGACCAAAUUCAAGAUCAAACUAACCAAAAAAAUCUAACAUCUUAACAUCAAUUAAACAUCAAGAAUCAAAUUUAAUAUAAAAAUCCCAAUUUUUAAUCUAAUAAUAAGGUUCAACUCUAAACUAAACAAAAUUUCCAACUUUUUCAAUAUAAUAUGAUGAAUC
rnacentral:lncRNA from 1 species